GAAUAUUGGACAAUGGGGGGAACCCUGAUCCAGCCAUGCCGCGUGUGUGAAGAAGGCCUUUUGGUUGUAAAGCACUUUAAGCGAGGAGGAGGCUACUAUAGUUAAUACCUAGAGAUAGUGGACGUUACUCGCAGCAUAAGCACCGGCUACCUCCGUGCCGGGACCCGCGGUAAUACAGAGGGUGCAAGCGUUAAUAGGAUUUACUGGGCUCAAAGCGCGCGUAGGUGGCCAAUUAAGUCAAAUGUGAAAUCCCCGAGCUUAACUUGGGAAUUGCAUUCGAUACUGGUUGGCUAGAGUAUGGGAGAGGAUGGUAGAAUUCCAGGUGUAGCGGUGAAAUGCGUAGAGAUCUGGAGGAAUACCGAUGGCGAAGGCAGCCAUCUGGCCUAAUACUGACACUGAGGUGCGAAAGCAUGGGGAGCAAACAG
rnacentral:rRNA from 1 species